rnacentral:rRNA from 1 species
UGCUUGUCUCAAAGAUUAAGCCAUGCAUGUCUAAGCAUAAACCGAAUAUGGUAAAGCCGCGAAUGGCUCAUUACAACAGCCAUAGUUUAUUGGAUCUUAGAGUCCUACUUGGAUACCUGUGGUAAUUCUAGAGCUAAUACACGCAAUCAAGCCUCAACCUUACGGGCGGGGCGCAUUUAUUAGAACAAAACCAAUUGGCUUCGGCCAUAGAUUGGUGAAUCUGAAUAACUACGCUGAUCGCACGGGCUUGUCCCGGCGACGUAUCCUUCAAGUGUCUGCCUUAUCAACUUUCGAUGGAGUUUAUAUGACUACCAUGGUUGUAACGGGUAACGGAGAAUAAGGGUUCGACUCCGGAGAGGGAGCCUGAGAAACGGCUACCACAUCCRAGGAAUGUAGCAGGCA